GACGAACGCUGGCGGCGUGCUUAACACAUGCAAGUCGAACGGAAAGGCCUGCUUUCCCUUGUGGAUUGCGGGUACUCGAGUGGCGAACGGGUGAGUAACACGCGAGUGAUCUGCCCCCAACUUGGGUAUAAGCCUGGGAAACUGGGUCUAAUUCCCGAUAGGACUGCAGGGUGGUGCCUGUGGUGGAAAACGAUUUUCUAGUGGUUGGGGAUGAGCUCGCGGCCUAUCAGCUUGUUGGUGGGGUAAUGGCCUACCAAGGCGGCGACGGGUAGCCGGCCUGAGAGGGUGGACGGCCACAUUGGGACUGAGAUACGGCCCAGACUCCUACGGGAGGCAGCAGUGGGGAAUAUUGCACAAUGGGCGGAAGCCUGAUGCAGCGACGCCGCGUGGGGGAUGACGGCCUUCGGGUUGUAAACUCCUUUCGACCGCGAGGAAGCCACCUGGUUGGAAGGGUGGUGACGGUAGUGGUAGAAGAAGCACCGGCUAACUACGUG
rnacentral:rRNA from 1 species